rnacentral:rRNA from 1 species
UACGAAGGGGGCUAGCGUUGCUCGGAAUUACUGGGCGUAAAGCGCACGUAGGCGGCUUUCUAAGUCGGGGGUGAAAUCCUGGAGCUCAACUCCAGAACUGCCUUCGAUACUGGAAAGCUCGAGUCCGGGAGAGGGUGAGUGGAACUGCGAGUGUGAGAGGUGAAAUUCGUAGAUAUUCGACAAGAACACCAGUGGCGAAGGCGGCUCACUGGCCCGGGUACUGACGCUGAGGUGCGAAAGCGUGGGGAGCAAACAGG